GACGAACGCUGGCGGCGUGCUUAACACAUGCAAGUCGAACGGAAAGGCCCUGCUUUUGUGGGGUGCUCGAGUGGCGAACGGGUGAGUAACACGUGAGUAACCUGCCCUUGACUUUGGGAUAACUUCAGGAAACUGGGGCUAAUACCGGAUAGGAGCUCCUGCUUCAGGGUGGGGGUUGGAAAGUUUCGGCGGUUGGGGAUGGACUCGCGGCUUAUCAGCUUGUUGGUGGGGUAGUGGCUUACCAAGGCUUUGACGGGUAGCCGGCCUGAGAGGGUGACCGGCCACAUUGGGACUGAGAUACGGCCCAGACUCCUACGGGAGGCAGCAGUGGGGAAUAUUGCACAAUGGGCGGAAGCCUGAUGCAGCAACGCCGCGUGCGGGAUGACGGCCUUCGGGUUGUAAACCGCUUUCGCCUGUGACGAAGCGUGAGUGACGGUAAUGGGUAAAGAAGCACCGGCUAACUACGUG
rnacentral:rRNA from 1 species